CGCACGGGUGAGUAACACGUAUCCAACCUGCCGUCUACUCUUGGACAGCCUUCUGAAAGGAAGAUUAAUACAAGAUGGCAUCAUGAGUCCGCAUGUUCACAUGAUUAAAGGUAUUCCGGUAGACGAUAGGGAUGCGUUCCAUUAGAUAGUAGGCGGGGUAACGGCCCACCUAGUCUUCGAUGGAUAGGGGUUCUGAGAGGAAGGUCCCCCACAUUGGAACUGAGACACGGUCCAAACUCCUACGGGAGGCAGCAUG
rnacentral:rRNA from 1 species